UACGGGAGGCAGCAGUGGGGAAUAUUGCACAAUGGGCGCAAGCCUGAUGCAGCCAUGCCGCGUGUAUGAAGAAGGCCUUCGGGUUGUAAAGUACUUUCAGUCGUGAGGAAGGUGUUAAGGUUAAUAACCUUAGCAAUUGACGUUAGCGACAGAAGAAGCACCGGCUAACUCCGUGCCAGCAGCCGCGGUAAUACGGAGGGUGCGAGCGUUAAUCGGAAUUACUGGGCGUAAAGGGCACGCAGGCGGUUAAUUAAGUUGGAUGUGAAAUCCCCGGGCUUAACCUGGGAAUGGCAUUCAAGACUGGUUAGCUAGAGUCUUGUAGAGGGGGUUAGAAUUCCAUGUGUAGCGGUGAAAUGCGUAGAGAUGUGGAGGAAUACCGGUGGCGAAGGCGGCCCCUGGGACAAAGACUGACGCUCAUGUGCGAAAGCGUGGGGAGC
rnacentral:rRNA from 1 species